rnacentral:rRNA from 1 species
GACGAACGCUGGCGGCGUGCCUAACACAUGCAAGUCGAACGAAGCAUUUAAGUGAAUCCCUUCGGGGUGAAGCUUUUAUGACUUAGUGGCGGACGGGUGAGUAACGCGUGAGUAACCUGCCUUUCAGAGGGGGAUAACAGUUGGAAACGACUGCUAAUACCGCAUGGCAUUGGUUGGAGGCCUCUUAACAAUGCUCCCGCUUUAUGAUGAGCCCGCGUCUGAUUAGAUAGUUGGUGAGGUAACGGCUCACCAAGCCGACGAUCGGUAGCCGAACUGAGAGGUUGAACGGCCACAUUGGGACUGAGACACGGCCCAGACUCCUACGGGAGGCAGCAGUGGGGAAUAUUGCACAAUGGGGGAAACCCUGAUGCAGCGACGCCGCGUGAGUGAAGAAGUAUUUCGGCAUGUAAAGCUCUAUCAGCAAGGAAGAAAAUGACGGUACUUGACUAAGAAGCCCCGGCUAACUACGUG